GACGAACGCUGGCGGCGUGCUUAACACAUGCAAGUCGAUCGGUAACGCGGGGGCAACCCUGGCGACGAGAGGCGGACGGGUGAGGAACGCUUGGGAAUCUGCCUAUCAGCGGGGGACAACACGGGGAAACUCGUGCUAAUACCGCAUACGCUCUACGGAGGAAAGCCGGGGACCGCAAGGCCUGGCACUGAUAGAUGAGCCCAAGGCGGAUUAGCUAGUUGGCGGGGUAACGGCCCACCAAGGCGACGAUCCGUAGCUGGUCUGAGAGGACGAUCAGCCAAACUGGAACAGGUACACGGGCCAGACUCCUAAGGGAAGCAGCAGUGGGGAAGAUUGGACAAUGGGGGAAGCCCUGAGCCAGCGAGGCCGAGUGGGUGAAGAAGGCCUGAGGGUUGUAAAGCCCUUUCGGUAGGGACGAAAGCUCUCGACCUAACACGUCGGGAGGUUGACUUAACCUACAGAAGAAGCACCGGCUAACUCUGUGCAAGCCGCCGCCGUAACAC
rnacentral:rRNA from 1 species